UUCAAGGAGUAUACAAUUCCUUCAUUAUUGGUGGUAGUGCUCCAAAUUUCUACAUGCGGUACUUUAUACGGUAGUCUUACCUUGCUGUGAUGGCUAGCUGAAGAUACAAUUAGUUGAGCAUAUAGGACAGAAGUAUUGUACUACAAGUUGAUUGCUCCAUUGAACUAAGCCCUACUGAAUAUAUGCUUUAGUGAUGUAAAAUGUUAUCUAGCCCCAUUGCAUUUCGUGCUUCCAUUGCAUUUUAGGUUGCUGGGGGCUAAGCGUUUAAAACUUCAUGACUUCCUGUUCUAAGCUUGUCAGUUUGUUUAUAAUUUAGAACAAUUUGGUUUGGCGUGUUCAGCUCCUUUUUCUACACGCAUACACCAUAUCAUUUUUUUGGUUGGGACAACUGAAUGCCAGUUUAGGUAACCAGUUUAGCGUCAUACUCCUCAAGGAUCUUUUGGUGGUAUGGUGCCGACGACGGCAUGGCUCUGUUAAGUUAUUUAGGUAACCAGUUAGGCUUUUCUUCUGAAUUUCCUUUUCAGAAGGGCAUGUUUGGAGUUCGGACACAAGGGUAAAAGUAUUGCUUUUGCGUCCCAGAAAUAUUGAUCUAUUUGCCUUGACGAGAGGAUGUCACGGGGCAGAUCCUUCAAUUUGUGCGUCUGCCAUCUAUCUUUGGACAGUUCCUGAUGUGACACAAGCACUACAGAACACUGAAUCUACAUUUCUUGAAUUACGAUGGUAUCAUGACAAAUGAGACUGAGUGAUCGCCACCAAAGACAACAUUCGCUGAUGAGGUCAUGUUUUUAUAUGAGAAAAAGCCUUGAGAGCUGCUGAGAGAGGCCCUGUCGUGAAUUGCUGACCGGCUGUUGAGCAUGACUCUGAAAAAUCUUCAGAGAUUGUUAGUGGGACUGUUAUUUUCAUGGAGUAAAAUGACAAAAUACAUUAAGGCCAUGGUGCCCAUGGAGUUCUCUUCACCUACGACUAGAUCUAUUACAAGCAAUGUAGGUAAUUUGGUGUGCAAAUUAGUCAUCACCCUUGAUACCUUUUUUACCAACUCAUAGCAUUUUGUAUAUAUUUUAUUAUGUACAUCCUGCAUAGAUAUCGAGCACAGCAGAGAUCCUUAGAACCAUUACAACAGAAUUGUUCAUUCCACACUUUCAUUGCUUAUGAAAACUAAUGGUGCAAACCAUGUUAUUGUUGCUUCUUCCUAUGAUAAAUUUUGGUCACAAGGAUACUUGUAUAUUUACCUCGAAUCUGUGAUAGAUGAUUGAUGUAAGCUGCCACUGGAGUAGGAAUGCAAUAAAAGGUCCAGAAUUAUGUUCUUCUUAAUACUUCUGAUGUUCACUCAUGAUUUAAUGUUUCUCUCUUGAGACGACAAACCACUUUUGUGGAAAAGAAACUCCAUUCGUUGCUAAGGACCAAAUCAUACAUAUCAGAUCCAUUUACUCGCUGGAAAGAAAUGGACAAGGGGAUCAGUUUACACGUAAUAGGAAGUACUUGUGCUAGGAAGUAGUACGUGAUCUAAAUCUCCGAUUGCCAGGAUAGCUAUUAGUAAAAAAAAGGUUAUUGCUGACAAAGAAAAUUGCAUGUGCCUAUAUGUUUUUAGCUCAAAAUCAUACUUGAGAUAAAUUGAUGUUGCUGUCUGAUUUAGCAUAUCCUGUAUCAGACAAUGCCUUUUGCUUUGAUUGCGCUUUUUGGAAGUGGUUACACAUUCAAAGAUUUGUUCACUAUAGAUAUUAUUUGUUUAAAUGUAGUUUUAUAAGUUUAUAUACCAAGAACUGAAUUUACCUUACCGAGCCAAGGCACUGACUUCUCAUAUGCAUAUAUGU